GAGCCCUUCACCUCCCUGCACGUCCAGCUGCAAAGUGGCCGCUUUGACUGCUCCGACCGGCAGUUCCACUCGGUGGCGGCAGCCUGGCAGGCACGCCUGGAGAGCCCUGCCGAUGUGAAGGAGCUCAUCCCGGAAUUCUUCUACUUUCCUGACUUCCUGGAGAACCAGAACGGUUUUGACCUGGGCUGUCUCCAGCUGACCAACGAGAAGGUAGGCGAUGUGGUGCUACCCCCGUGGGCCAGCUCUCCUGAGGACUUCAUCCAGCAGCACCGCCAGGCUCUGGAGUCGGAGUAUGUGUCUGCACACCUACACGAGUGGAUCGACCUCAUCUUUGGCUACAAGCAGCGGGGGCCAGCCGCCGAGGAGGCCCUCAAUGUCUUCUAUUACUGCACCUAUGAGGGGGCUGUAGACCUGGACCAUGUGACAGAUGAGCGGGAACGGAAGGCUCUGGAGGGCAUUAUCAGCAACUUUGGGCAGACUCCCUGUCAGCUGCUGAAGGAGCCACAUCCAACUCGGCUCUCAGCUGAGGAAGCAGCCCAUCGCCUUGCACGCCUGGACACUAACUCACCUAGCAUCUUCCAGCACCUGGACGAACUCAAGGCAUUCUUCGCAGAGGACGCAGCGACUGCUGAGUGGCCCGUGGGUGCCAGGCAGUGGUGUGAGUGGACAAGCACUGGCAGUGGCCCCGGAUGGAAAGCUGCUAUUCAGCGGUGGCCACUGGGAUGGCAGCCUGCGGGUGACUGCACUACCCCGUGGCAAGCUGUU
rnacentral:lncRNA from 1 species